rnacentral:rRNA from 1 species
GGAAGUAAAAGUCGUAACAAGCCUUCCGUAGGGGAACCUGCGGAGGGAUCAUUACACAAAUUAAAAUAUGAAGGCUUCGGCUGGAUUAUUUUUAUCACCCUUGUCUUUUGCGCACUUGUUGUUUCCUGGGCGGGUUCGCCCGCCACCAGGACCACACCAUAAACCUUUUUUAUGCAGUUGCAAUCAGCGUCAGUAUAACAAAUGUAAAUCAUUUACAACUUUCAACAACGGAUCUCUUGGUUCUGGCAUCGAUGAAGAACGCAGCGAAAUGCGAUACGUAGUGUGAAUUGCAGAAUUCAGUGAAUCAUCGAAUCUUUGAACGCACAUUGCGCCCUUUGGUAUUCCAAAGGGCAUGCCUGUUCGAGCGUCAUUUGUACCCUCAAGCUUUGCUUGGUGUUGGGCGUCUUUUGUCUUUGGCCUCGCCCAAAGACUCGCCUUAAAACGAUUGGCAGCCGGCCUACUGGUUUCGCAGCGCAGCACAUUUUUGCGCUUGCAAUCAGCAAAAAGGACGGCAAUCCAUCAAGACUACAUUUUUACGUUUGACCUCGGAUCAGGUAGGGAUACCCGCUGAACUUAAGCAUAUCAA